rnacentral:rRNA from 1 species
GUGCCAUGCCCAUCGAGGAUGAGCGCUCUCGAGAUUUCGAUACGCAAAUAUGCGAAGCAGCCUGACAAAAGCGUCGUUAGGCCUGAGCUAGGGCUCAGUUUUGAUUCGUUAGGGGAGGCGUAUGACUUCUACAACCUAUACUCAUGGGAGGCCGGUUUCGGAAUAAGAUAUGGGAAAAGCAGACUCAACGCCGGCCGGACAAAAACCAUGCAGGAGAUUGUUUGUGGUUGCUCGGUGAGUACAUUAUUUGAUGCGUGCACAGGAAAGCCUAUAUGGUACUGCAUAUGA